rnacentral:rRNA from 1 species
GACAGAGGGUGCAAACGUUGUUCGGAAUUACUGGGCGUAAAGCGCACGUAGUCGGCUUUGCAAGUCGGGUGUGAAAUCCCCGGGCUCAACCUGGGAACUGCAUCCGAGACUGCAUUGCUAGAGUAUGGGGAGAGGGAAGCGGAAUUUCUGGUGUAGCAGUGAAAUGCGUAGAUAUCAGAAGGAACAUCAGUGGCGAAGGCGGCUUCCUGGACCAAUACUGACGAUCAGGUGCGAAAGCGUGGGGAGCAAACAGG